UCUAGCUAUCUAAUAAGCUUGAGGGCA
rnacentral:piRNA from 1 species